rnacentral:sRNA from 1 species
GUACUAGGAUGGGUGACCUCCCGG